GCCUGCAUGCCCCACAUGGGUCCCAGUGCCACCCCACGAGGGAAGAAACAACGGGAUCCGCUCACCUCCUCCCCUACCGUGGCAGACAUGUUCGCGGCUUCAAAUGGCACAAGAUGGCCGCCGGACACGAGACUCCCACUCCCCACCAACAGGCACAGACAGGGGACAGCCCGACAGGGGGUGUCCUCCUUGCCGGAGGUGCCAAGUCUGG